UUUUGAGUGCAAUCGGUCCCUUCCGUUAAGUAGAUGCUAACAGCGUUAACUUUUCUUCUCUCUCCUUUGCUAUUUCUGACACUUCUUUUUCUCUCUCCUAUUUCUCUUCUCUCUCACCGUUACAACAUCAUUAUAACAUAAAAUAAAAAAAAUAAAAAAAAAAAACCCAGGCCCAAUCCCCCUCUUCAGAAACCUUAGGGUUUCCUCACCCCCAAACCCUCUAGGAGGUUCUCAUUCGAAGAGAACUCCAAACCCAUCCUUAGACUUCUCUCCCAAAAGACGUCCCCUCCAUCUUCCACCAGCCAAACCGCGACGCCGGAUGCCACCUCACGGUCACUGCGACACCACCAAAAGCGUCGCCAACGACCACCAUCUCAAUCGCCAAAGACGCCGCCAAAGCGUCCAUCUCGCCGGACCAGCACCGUCGCACCCCGAG
rnacentral:lncRNA from 1 species